GGGAAUUGUUGUUGAAAACAGACAAAUCAGAGGAUAGAAAGAAAGAAAUAUUGAAUUGAGCAGCCAUCUCCAUUCAAGGGCCUUGAUCAGAAUAUGCUGGAGGUGCUUGAUAGAAGAAGAAGAAGAAGAAGAAGGAGAAACACAUGGAAAACAAACCACCCUUGAGUGCUGCACGCUCUUCGCCUAUUUAGGGCAGCCAUGUCCAGCAGUGGAUUUGAAUAUGCAUGACUAUCCCAGCAACCCUUGCAGCACAGCUCUGAGACCUGACACCAGCCUUUUCAAAGAAGAAUAUGCAUGCAUCACAUUUGAAUAUGUAACGGGCCCUGUCAUACACAAUAAACACAAUGUCCGUGAAAUGGGUGAAUGAUGAUAAAGUACCCAAAAUCGACUUGGAGUGAUACAACGUUCUUAGAGCACAGACGUGGCCUCUAACUAUAUGAUUAGGAAAUUUUUUAACAUUUUAAAAAUAAAAAAUAAAAUUGAAAUUGUUGAAUUGGGAAUAGGAAUUUGGGGAAAGGGGUUUAUUCGCUUUCUAACCAGUAGAAUGAUUGAAUGUAUCAUCUAAUUAACUGUACUUUUCAAGAUGUAACUCAUCAAUUGGACGUCUUUAACCAUAAGUGAUAAUGCUUCAUAAAAUAUAAUAUAAGCAUGUAUUUUGUCAAAUAGUGACAAAAUGCAAAAUACUAUUCACUCAUUUUUGUCCCAUCACUAACAAUUUUGUUAAAUUGUCUCCCGUUUAUUGAGGCUACGCCGUGAUGAUCACGCUGGCGCAGCCAUUGCCCCAAAUCCCACGCGAACACAAGGCGCAGAUUAAACUGCAUGUUACAGCGAAGUCUGCACAUUGUGCCUCAGAGCCACUGGGUUCCUGGAGAGAAUCCGACUCCAUUCCACUCGAGCAGCACUCACGUGGUGCACUACUUGUAAACCGGGGAGCGGGAGAGUUCACAUCUUGCAGAGUUGGAACGUGGCAACGUGGUGGAUGCGAGGCUCUCCUCCCUGGUCCCGCUGCUAGAGCAGCUAAUUAAAUACUAAGGAAGGAAUAAAACCCUAAUGAGAAGCACAAGCUUGUUGUGGUGUUUGGCACUG
ensembl:lncRNA